rnacentral:tRNA from 1 species
GUCCCAGUAGCGCAGUAGGCAGCGCGUAAGUCUCAUAAUCUUAAGGUCGUGAGUUCGAUCCUCACCUGGGGCA